ACGAAGGGUGCAAGCGUUACUCGGAAUUACUGGGCGUAAAGCGUGCGUAGGUGGUUUGUUAAGUCUGAUGUGAAAGCCCUGGGUUCAACCUGGGAAUUGCAUUGGAUACUGGCAGGCUAGAGUGCGGUAGAGGGUAGUGGAAUUCCCGGUGUAGCAGUGAAAUGCGUAGAGAUCGGGAGGAACACCAGUGGCGAAGGCGGCUACCUGGACCAGCACUGAC
rnacentral:rRNA from 1 species